rnacentral:rRNA from 1 species
UACGAAGGGGGCUAGCGUUGUUCGGAAUUACUGGGCGUAAAGCGUGCGCAGGCGGCUUCUCAAGUCAGGGGUGAAAGCCCAGAGCUCAACUCUGGAAUUGCCUUUGAGACUGAGUGGCUUGAGUACGAGAGAGGUGAGUGGAAUUCCCAGUGUAGAGGUGAAAUUCGUAGAUAUUGGGAAGAACACCGGUGGCGAAGGCGGCUCACUGGCUCGUAACUGACGCUCAUGCACGGACAGCGUGGGGAUCAAAACAGG